rnacentral:rRNA from 1 species
GAUGAACGCUGACAGAAUGCUUAACACAUGCAAGUCUUUGGCGAAGCUGUGCUUGCACCGCCUAGCCAAGGCGGACGGGUGAGUAACGCGUAAGGAACUUGCCCUGCAGUCAGGGAUAACAGACGGAAACGACUGAUAAGACCUGGUAAAGUCAGGCGGACUCAUGUCCAGCCUGAUGAAAAGAGAUGCUGCAGGAGAGCCUUGCGUCCUAUUAGCUUGUUGGUGGGGUAACGGCCCACCAAGGCGAUGAUAGGUAGCCGGCCUGAGAGGGUGGACGGCCACAAGGGGACUGAGAUACGGCCCUGACUCCUACGGGAGGCAGCAGUGGGGAAUAUUGGACAAUGGGGGCAACCCUGAUCCAGCAAUUCUGUGUGCACGAUGAAGGUUUUCGGAUUGUAAAGUGCUUUCAGCAGGGAAGAAAAAAAUGACGGUACCUGCAGAAGAAGCGACGGCUAAAUACGUG